UGAAAACAGCCUUUAAAAAUUUCAUUGAGAAAGUAGAGGCUCUAACUAAGGAGGAACUGGAAUUUGAAGUGCCUUUUAGGGACUUGGGGUAACAUAUCUUCUUUUUGGCCUGAAGUGUCACCGGUCUGUCUUUUGGUACAAUAAAUUAUUCUUCCUUUAAUAAUAAUUUAACAUAUCGUAUCCUUUUUUCCUAUGACUAAUAAUCUUUGAGACAUCCAUUUCUUCUUGAAAAUGUUUAAGGGUUUAGGUGAGUGGCUAACUCUUAAAGAGGCUUCCUCUGGAUGAGUCUCCAGUGAGUAUGCUGGAGCUGUUUGGAAUGGGGAGAGGGAAGAAGUGUGUCUGUUGUGGUAGGAGCAGUCUCUCUCGUGAUGAGCUCAGUCUUAAAAGUUUCUCUCUUCCAGAUUUAACGGAGCUCCCUAUAGGAGUACCUGCCUCCUUCAGCCCACUAGUAGUGCGCUGGUAAAUGCUACGGAAUGGCCACCUUUUGUGGUGACAUUGGAUGAGGUAGAGCUGAUCCACUUUGAGCGGGUGCAGUUUCACCUGAAGAACUUUGAUAUGGUAAUCGUCUACAAGGACUACAGCAAGAAAGUGACCAUGAUCAACGCCAUUCCUGUAGCCUCUCUUGACCCCAUCAAGGAAUGGUUGAAUUCCUGCGACCUGAAGUACACAGAAGGAGUACAGUCCCUCAACUGGACUAAAAUCAUGAAGACCAUUGUUGAUGACCCUGAGGGCUUCUUCGAACAAGGUGGCUGGUCUUUCCUGGAGCCUGAGGGUGAGGGGAGUGAUGCUGAAGAAGGGGAUUCAGAGUCUGAAAUUGAAGAUGAGACUUUUAAUCCUUCAGAAGAUGACUAUGAAGAGGAAGAGGAGGACAGUGAUGAAGAUUAUUCAUCAGAAGCAGAAGAGUCAGACUAUUCUAAGGAGUCAUUGGGUAGUGAAGAAGAGAGUGGAAAGGAUUGGGAUGAACUGGAGGAAGAAGCCCGAAAAGCGGACCGAGAAAGUCGUUACGAGGAAGAAGAAGAACAAAGUCGAAGUAUGAGCCGGAAGAGGAAGGCAUCUGUGCACAGUUCGGGCCGUGGCUCUAACCGUGGUUCCAGACACAGCUCUGCACCCCCCAAGAAAAAGAGGAAGUAACUUCUGAACUUUGGCCCUGAGCUCCAUUCUUCCUCCAGCCAACCCCUGAAAAUUUUACAUGACAUAGAAACUGUAUUUUUCCUUUUGUUUUCAUUUGACGUUUUGCCAUUUGUGUUUAUGGGUUUAGGGGGCCAUUUGUGUGGACCAAUCUACUCGGGGAAUUCCAGGCCCACCAGGACACGUGCCAAUGGCCCCAUUCAGAUGGCAAGGGAGGAGGUGUUCUUGAAGACAGGAGGAGGCUCCCGCUGUUAAUAAAUAUUGUUUCAUUCUUCUCUCUUCCUGUCACCUUCUGCCAGGACAUCGAUGGCUUCUGACAUCUUAUUAUUUGGUGUCUCAAAGCUGUAUUUCCAAGACAGUGGUGACCCUGUAAUUAAGGUGACCCUUAAUUACCCGUAUCAUGACCAGCACAUUCAAUCCUCCAACCCACCCUACUGCCAUGACCUUCCUCACAUCUCUUAAGUUUUAUCUUUGCAAUACUCAAGGUUCUUGGAAAUUUGCUGAUGGUUGUGAUAAACCAUACAACUUGAGCUAGUGAGGCAGAUUGGGCUGGUGCCUUCGUCUGAGUUUUCCUGCUUUCCUGCCUCAUGCAGAUUCUGAGGUAUAUCUGCUGCCUUGGAAGACAUAAGAAGCAGUGAUACUCCCUGGCUCGGUUAUUUUCUCCAUACAAUGCACACAUGGUACAAUGAUAGAAGGCAAAAUUGCCACUGUCUUCUUUUUUUCUCAUAUAUCUAAGGAAGAUAUAUCAGGUUGUGCCUCAUGUACCGCUUCUAGUGAAAUGUAGAGGAAGGCUCAAAGGAGUCAACAUUUAGAUCUGGAAGGGACAAGUCAUGCCUUGGGCCUAGAAUACCCUGACGAGAAAAGAGAAGAGGAAGGGAGGCCAUAUCUACAACACAGCCUCUCAGCACUGCUGCUCCUUAUUUUAACUUUGUCUUGCAUUGUCCUGUAUUUAUCACAGUUUCUGUUGAACAGCUUUUCAAGUAUUUGGGGAGUUUAUCUUGCCAUCCUCCCCUUCUGGUUCUCUGCACCCACCUGUCCCACUGCAGUUCCUUCCGUGCUCUGUGACUUUAAGAGAAGAAGGGGGGAGGGGUCCCGGAUUUUAUGUUUGUUUGUUUUUUCUCCUUAGCAGUAGGACUUGAUAUUUUCAAUUUUGGAAGAACUAAAAGAUGAAUAAACUGGGUUUUUUUUUUGUUGUUGUUUGUUUUUGU
rnacentral:sRNA from 1 species